AAUUGCUUGAAUCCGGGAGACAGAGGUUGCAAUGAGCUGAGAUCGCACCACUGCACUCCAGCCUGGGUGACAGAGUCAGACUCUGUCUCAAAAAAAAAAAAAAAAAAAAUUAGCGGGACAUGGUGUGGUGGUGCAUGACUGUAAAUCCCAGCUACUUGGGAGGCUGAGGCAGGAGAAUCACUUGAACGAAGAGGUGGAGGCUCCAAGCCCCAUUCUCACACAAGUUCUCCAAGGCUGUUGCAUUUACACAUGCCCAGGACUGUUGGAUGGUGGGUUGUCUACAGAGGAUUGGUCCAUGGUAAUUUACCCUUGAUGUUCAUUGGACAGAUGAUGUUUAAAGGCUAAAUAAAAGUUAGCCAGGUGGACAAGAAAAGGAAGGACAUUCUAAGUGGAGAGAACAGUGUGUGUAAACAGAAGAAAAAGACAGUAUAGUGUAUGGAUUCACAAAAUCUUAUCUUUCAUUCUGAAAUCCCAAAAGUUCAAAAAGCUCAAAGCUUUUCUUAACCUAUUUGUCAGGAAAACCAGACCCAACUCAAUUUGAACUCAUGGGUGUGCUGCAUUUGUCGGGGACCCAUCAGGACACAGUGGCAUUCUCAAAUUGGGAUCACUUGAAGAAGAUUUAAUAAAGAGAUUUUGUAUACAGGUGUGGGUGAGGUGCAGAAAAACCAUGGGAAGCGGGGCGGGCACUCACACCUGUAAUCCCAGCACUCUGGGAGGCCGAGGUGGGCGGAUCACUCGAGAUCAGGAGUUCAAGAAUAGCCUGGCCAAUAUGGUGAGACCCCGUCCCUACUAAAAAUACAAAAAUUAGUCAGGCAUGAUGACAGGGGCCUUAGCUACAUGGGAGGCUGAGGCAGGAGAAUCGCUUGAACCAGGGAGGCAGAGGUCGCAGUGAGCGGAGAUUGCGCCACUGUACUCCAGCUUGGAUGACAGACAGCGCAAGACUCUGUCUCAAAAAAGAAAACAAACAAACAAAAAACCACAGGGGAUAGUGUUGGCACAAGGGAUAGUGGUGUGAAAGUGAGACAGUACCCUAGCACUAGAAAGAACAGAACUGUUAUGACUCCUAGAUGCAAAGAGAUGAGAAGAGGGAGUGCUUCUUAGAACUCAGAAGGAAAGAGUCAUGGGAAGAUGACUGCCUAAGAGCAACAGUGAGUCUCAGAAUGUUCUUCAGGCAAGGGAAAUACCCCAACCUUCCUGGGGAGCUUGAUGGGCUCCCCGUUGGUUAUACCCCAUCAGUAGCCUGAGGGCAACAGAGUGCGAAGCUGAAGUCCAGAUAGGUCAGUUUCCCGUGGCACAGAGCAGGUGGAAAAGGAUAGAAAAUAGAUCUAGAGGGGCCAAAGGAAGUGGCCCUUGCUAAGUGGAAAACCAGACCUGAACUGACCUAAGGUCAUUUGCAAAUGUAUUCAUACUUAAUGUGAAUAUUUAGGUUUCUGGCAGAGAUGUUUAUGUUUGUAAUGAUGAAUUGAUGUCUUAGACCCUGCUAGGUGUUGUGUACUAUAUGAUACAAGCAUGGGGUUACUUGUCAAAAACCUGAAAAAAAUUAUGAAUUUGGAAAUACCUCUGGCCUCUGGGAGCUUUGCUAAGAGAAUAUGGGCCUGCAUAUAGUAAACUGGAGACAUUUUUAUAUGUCUCAAAGAUUUUGCACGUGGGGAAUGGGGUGGGGAGUUGGCAGCAGUACAAUAUCGAAGGCAAGAAAGGAGGUGAAAAGGUGCACUGGAGCCACAGCAUUAAGGUUUUUAUGCCAAGCAAAGAGGAUGGACUUGGCUGUAAAUGGUGAGGAAUUGUAACAAGGGAUUUUAAACUGGGAUGACAUGAUUAGACACAUGUUUUAGGAAGACCAUGCUGGCUGUAAUGCGCAGGUUGGACUCUCCUGGGCAACAGAGCACAGGAAGUCCUGGGUUUGGGAUUUCUGUCAUUCCUGAGCGUGGAGAAAGAGAAGGGGAGGUGGAGAGGUAUGAGAGACUGGCCCUAGUGAUUCCCAUGACUGCACAAUGUGACACUUGAAUGGAUCAUGGAGGAAGCAGAGGCAACACAUACUAAAGGCAGGGAGAGGACACUCUUUCAGAUGUCAUCUUCAGCUCUGCUUAGUAAGCUGAUUAACAAAGCUUUUGCCAGCAUCUGAGAUGCAUGUCCACCAAGAGAUACCGUUCUCUUGCUUCUUGAAUCAUAGAUUUUAUUUUUAAGAUUAAAUAGGAUUAAAUCUUAAUCCUAUUUAACCUGCAGAUAUUAAGCAGCAGGAGUUAUCCAGAGACUCAGCAAAAGAAUCUGGAUUGGUCCCCUAACUCUAUGUCAUGUUGUUUUCAUCAUACCACACUGCCAUUCGAUCAGUGAUGUUAAAUUAAAUGAGCAGGAACCACUAGCUUGAGGCUGUCUCCGUACUUUGAGUUCCUAUAUACUUAACAAACUGUAACCUAACUUGGUGCAAAACAAAUGGAAAGCCUAACUUAGGAGUAUAUUUUGUAACAGCCAAGCUUCAGCCAAUGACAGGCAGCCAAGUGAUCAGACCAUCCCCAAAUAAGGCAGCCACUUAACUGUAGCCAAUCAGGUGAUUUUUCUACUUUGCUUCUAUGUUUGGCCUAUAAAAACUUGUUGCUCACACUGCUUUGCUCAAAUAAACUCUGCUAAAUUUAAUUUGUCUCCUUUUUUUUUUGUUUGAGACAGAGUCUCACUCUGUUGCCAGGCUGGAGUACAAUGGUGUGAUCUUGGCUCACUGCAACCUCUGCCUCCCUCCCGGGUUCAGGUGAUUCUCCUUCCUCAGCCUCCCGAGUAGCUGGGAUUACAGGUGCCUACACCACCACGCCUGGCUAAUGUUUGUAUUUUUAGUAGAGAUAGGGUUUCACCAUGCUGCCCAAGCUGGUCUUGAACUCCUGGCCUCAAGUGAUCUGCCUGCUUCAGCCUCCCAAAGUGCUGGGAUUACAGGUGUGAACCACCAUGCCUGGACUAAAGUUGUUGUUGUUGUUUUUUUUAAUGGUGUGAAAUAUGGUGAUAGUUCAUAUAAAUAUCUGUGUCAGUUCCUAAAAAGAAUAUAGAGGAAUAAAAGACCAAUGCAGUAAGUAUUGACUUAACAGUCCUUGGAAGGCAUUUUUCUCCCUUCUUCAAGUUUUAAUAAAAAUAAAACCCUAAAAUUCAUAGCAUCAUGGAAUAGAAGUCUGGUAAAGCGAGCAGAAUAAUUUAUGCAUAAUUAUAAAAUAACUGGUGCAUUAAGUGGUUAUAUGAUCUGUCUCAUGAGUUAGUUGGUCAAAUUUUAUACACAGCUUAUUUAUAAUUAAUUAUUUCUUAAUCUCCCUCCAAUUGUUUAAUGGUUCCCAUAUGCUUGCUUGUGCUUUAGCUUGUAUGCACUUGGUGAAUCUUACCUACCACAAACAGAAGUCUGGAAAGUGAAAAUUUAUUUCCUUUUCACCAUGACCAGCCUUGUUCAGGUAAUUCUCCAGAGAUAACUACUCUUAAGAGAACAUCUGAGAGGCACAGACCUGAGAAAGAAUCCCCAGGCUGAAGAGGUAGAAGUUGGCAGAAGUUAAAAGCAAUGUCUCCACAAUGGAGAAGUGACAUGCUAAAGGAACCUGGCAUCUAGACAUUUCCUAACCCCCAAUCCCUCCUUACAUAUGACCUGCUCUUAGAGGAGUACAGCGUGGUGGUUAGGAGUGUGGACUCGGCAGCCAGAAAUCCUGGGAUCUGUUGCUUGUUAGCUGUGGGCCUUAAGCUAAGAACUUAACCUCUCUGUGCCUCAGUUGCUCCAUCUGUUCAAAUGAAGAUAAUGAUAAUGAAGAUGAUAUCACCUGCUGUGUAGGAUUGUUAUGAAAAAUCAAGAAUUAAUAUUUGUAAAUCACUUACAGGGUCUGGCACAUAAUAAGUGCUGUGUGGGUGUUUGUUAAAUAAAAUAAUAUACAAUGACAUAGGCAUUGUGGUUGUUCUUCCUAGUCUCCUAAAGAAGCAGUUGUUUCUGAAACCUUCCCAAACUCAAAUAUAGCUGAAGUUGCUCAAAAUAUCAUGUGAAAAUCCCUCCUCUUCACCAGCCCCUCCACUGUAGAGGCUUCUUUGUGCUCACAGAAGCCCUAUAUUUCAGUGGUCUGUUCUGGAUGUCUAAACUUCUCAUAAGAAGUGAUAUUUUAUGGGGCCCGGUGCAGUGGCUCACGCCUGUAAUCUUAGCACUUUGGGAAGCCGAGGCAGGUGGAUCAUUUGAGGUCAGGAGUUAGAGACCAGUCUGACCAAGAUGGUGAAACUCCGUCUCUACUAAAUACAAAAAAAACAGACAGGAGUGGUGGCACAUGCCUGUAAUCCCAGCUAUUUGGGAGGCUGAGGCAGAAGAAUCGCUUGAAUCCUGAAGGCAGAGGUUGCAAUGAGCCAAGAUCGCACCAUUGCACUCCAGCCUGGGCAACAGAGCCAGAGCAAAACUGUCUCAAAAAAGCAAACAAAAAAAAGAUAAAGAAGAGGUGAUAUUUUAUUUACGUUAAAAAAAAAUGGACAGAUACUAGGUGUCUGAUUCCCAGACAGUUGUUAGCACAUUCUUUGUGUUCAACAAAACAUUCUAAUAAGAAGAGAAGAUUUGUAAAAACACAUAGAAGAAAUUGAUUAACAAACAUAAGUACAGUGAAAAUUAUCUGGAUUCUGGCUGGGCACGGUGGCCCGCACCUGUAAUCCCAGCACUUUGGGAGGCCGAGGUGAGUGGAUCACUUGAGGUCAGGAGACCAGCCUGACCAACAUGGUGAAACCCCAUCUCUACUAAAAAUACAAAAUUAGCCGGGCAUGGUAGUGAAUGCCUGUAAUCCCAGCUACUUGGGAGGCUGAGGCAGGAGAAUCACUUGAACCUAGGAGGCGGAGGUUGCAAUGAGGCAAGAUUGCACCACUGCACUCCAGUCUGGGCAUCAAGAGAGAAACUCUGUCAAAAAGAAGAAAGAAAGAAAGAAAUUGAUUAGGAAACACAAGUGCAAUGAAAAUUAUCGGGAUUUUGGCCGGACAUGUGGCUCAUGCCUGUAAUCCCAGCACUUUGGGAGGCCAAGGUGGGUGGGUCACCUGAGGUCAGGAGCUCAAGACCAGGCUGGGCAACAUGGCAAAACCCCGUCUCUACUAAAAAUACAAAAAUUAGCCAGGUGUGGUGGCAGGUGCCUGUAAUAUGGGAGGCUGAGACCCAAGAAUCGCUUGAACCCGGGAGGCAGAAGUUGCAGUGAGCCAAGAUCACACCAUUGCACUUCAGCCUGGGUGACAGAGCAAGGCUCCAUCUCAAAAAAAAAAAAAGAAAAUUAUCUGGAUUCUCAGGAAAUGUUUGAUUUGCUGAACAUAAGAGAAAAUUUUAGGAAUAGAAAAUAAGAGAAAAUUCAUUGACAGUAUAUAUUUAUAUCCUAUAUUUUCAAAUGUUAAUAUUAUAACUGUCAGAAAUAAUGCCACAUUUUAUUUAUUGAAGAGCUGAUUAUCCAGAUCUGAGAUUUUACAUAUCUUUUUUUUCUUUUUUCUUUUUAUUUUUAUUUGAUACGGAAUCUCGCUCUGUUGCCAGUCUGGAGUGCAGUGGCACAAUCUCAGCUCACUGCAACCUCUGCCUCCUGGGUUCAAGCGAUUCUCCUGCCUCAGACUCCUGAGUAGCUGGGAUUACAGGUGCGUGCCACCACGCCCAGCUAAUUUUUGAAUUUUUAGUAGAGAUGGGGUUUCACCAUGUUGGCCAGGAUGGUCUUGAUCUUGUGACCUCGUGAUCUGCCCGCCUCAUCCUCCCAAAGCGCUGGGAUUACAGGCAUGAGCCACUGCGCCCGGCUGAGAUUUUACAUUUUUUUUUUUUUUUUGAGACGGAGUCUCACUCUAUCACCCAGGCUGGAGUGCAGUGGCACGAUCUCGGCUCACUGCAACCUCUGUCUCUUGGGUUCAAGAGAUUCUUCUGCCUCAACCUGCCGAGUAGCAGGGAUUAUAGUUGCCGGCCACCACACCAGGCUAAUUGUUGUAUUUUUAGUAGAGACAGUGUUUCACAAUGUUGGUCAGGCUGGUCUCAAACUCCUGACCUUGUGAUCCACCUGCCUUGGUCUCCCAAAGUGCUGGGAUUACAGGCGUGAGCCACCGCACCCGGCCUUACAUAUCUUUUAUUACUAUUUUCUUCCUACACCAUCCCCGCAAUCUCCUGUAUUUUUAUCAAUUACAAAGCACGUGGAGUCAGGUGUGAAAUUUUUUUCUCUAAAUAUGGUUAGACUUCUAAGGCAAACCGUAUGGUUCCUGACUUCCUCUAAAGGAGGACUAAUGGGUCACUCCAUCUGGGGGGCAUCCCCAUUCUCUGGAGUAUUUUGACUAUAGCCUUGAGUUAAACACGUGGUUUGGUUGGCUGUACAUCAUGAUUUAAUUUCACAAGAAUCUUGCAUGUCUCAUUUCCUCAUACUAUCACUAAAAAGAUUUGAGGGGUUGACACUGGCUUUCAACCUCAGCUUCAGCACAGAAUCCAAAUUGUAGGAGUUAGGGAGUAUAUUAUGGUCUAAAUGUUUGUGUUACCCCCUUCUCCAUUCAUAUGUUGAAAUCCCAACCUUCAAGGUGAUGGUGUUGGGAAGUGGAGCGUUUGGGAAGCUAUUAGGACAUGAGGGCAGAGUUUAGUGUCCUUAUAAAAGAGGCCCAAGAGAGACAAGUCCUUGCGUCUUCUACCAUGUGAAGACUUAGCCAGAUGGCACCUUCUAUGAACAAGAAAGCAGGUGCUCACCAGAAACAGCACCUGCUGGUAUGUUGAUCUUGGACUUCACUGCCUUUAGAAUUGUGAGAAAUACAUUUCUUUUGUUUAUAAGCCACCCAGUUUAUGGUAUUUUAUUACAGCAGCCCAAACCAGCUAAGAUGGGGAAUUUCGAUGCUGAAAGAGGGAGGGAAAAUUAGAAUGCUGUGGCUAGCCACUGAUGAACCCAUGGACAGUUAGCUUUCAAACUUUUAGACUAUGAUUAAUAUACUAAGAAAAGACACUACAGCAGAUACAACUGUAGCCAACUUACAGUUGGGUAUUUUAUGUAUUUGUUUGUUUCUUUUAUUUCUCACCUUGUUCCAGAAUGUGAAGCAAAGCUAUCUUAUUAUUUCUCUUCCAGGACAGCAUCAGGAAAAUAUGAAGCUCUUGUUUCUUUUCUUUCUCCUUGGCCUGCAAAGGCCUGUGUUUAGCUCUGUAAUAAUUUCUUUUCAAACUUGAGUUGCUCAGGCAACUACACUCUUUGCUCUCUAACUUGACCCCAUUUCCUGAUGAAUGGUCUUUUCAUUUCUUUGCUAAGACCUAAAGGUUUUUACAUUCUGCAAUUUUCUCUGCUAAAUAGCUCUAGGCAUUACUGCUUAUAAAAUCAUAGACAAUCAUAAAACCUUAGAUUUGGAAGGAACCUUGGAGACCAUCUAAUCCUACCCCCUCAUUUUACAGUUAAAGAAAUUGAGUUCUCAAGAGGGUAAAUAACUUGUUCAGAGUCAUCCAGCUAAUUUGUAGACUGGGUAGUAUUUUCCCAAGCUAAUUUUUUGACUUGAAUAGAACUACAACUGAAACCAUUUUAAAGAGCACAUACUUUUACAUCUUGAUCCUUUUGAAAUAUAAUAAUAUAAUUUACAGAACCAAAUUUAUAAAAUCACCACUUUUAAUCCUGAAAAACACUGUGAUGUAAGAAAUGGCUAAAUGAGGUUCGUUAUUUACAUGCUUUUUAAUAGGCCAUGUAUUAAAACUCUGGUCUCAGAUUUACUAGUUAAUUGAAGGUUGGCUAAAUCAACCUAAAGAGAUUGCUUUGCUUUACCUAAUGACUUCUAUGGUGGAGGGCAGGGGCAGUUGAAAGAAAAUGGACCAACACAAACAGAGAGACAUAAUGUCAGCAUGGGAAUGAGGUUAGGCUCAAUAAUCUACUGUCAUUAUUAUUACUGUUAAUAUAAUAUCAUACUUUGUGUGCAUAACAUCAUGACUCUAGCUUGGCAGUAUGAAGUCCAGAUAAGAAAUUAUAAGUUACCUUUGUGUCCAGAAUUUUAAUCUAGCUAGAGCCAAAGAUGAGUCAUCCUCUUUUUACUGCGCACUCGCUUCAGACAGAGGGGUCCUCCUAUGUGGCCACAGGUAACUCAUAGAACCUUUGAAGAGCCACUUUUCUUGACUGCUCUAUAUCUCUCUUUGCAAAAUUGUGUAUCUCACAAGUAGGCUCAUUCUCAACAUUUGUGAGCUUAAUGGGAAUGUGCCAAUGGAUAUUUCUCACCCUGCUCCAAUGGAACACCCACCCUUCUGUCCAUACUGACCUCACAGAGACUUGUAAGUGCUCAGACUCUACCCCACAUAUCCAAGCUCUAUCCACAACUCCAAACACCAUACACAGCUGCCCCU
rnacentral:lncRNA from 1 species